rnacentral:rRNA from 1 species
GCUCCUGGGUGACGAGCGGCGGACGGGUGAGUAAUGUCUGGGAAACUGCCUGAUGGAGGGGGAUAACUACUGGAAACGGUAGCUAAUACCGCAUAACGUCGCAAGACCAAAAAGGGGGACCUUCGGGCCUCUUGCCAUCAGAUGUGCCCAGAUGGGAUUAGCUAGUAGGUGGGGUAACGGCUCACCUAGGCGACGAUCCCUAGCUGGUCUGAGAGGAUGACCAGCCACACUGGAACUGAGACACGGUCCAGACUCCUACGGGAGGCAGCAGUGGGGAAUAUUGCACAAUGGGCGCAAGCCUGAUGCAGCCAUGCCGCGUGUAUGAAGAAGGCCUUCGGGUUGUAAAGUACUUUCAGCGGGGAGGAAGGUGAUGAGGUUAAUAACCUCGUCGAUUGACGUUACCCGCAGAAGAAGCACCGGCUAACUCCGUGCCAGCAGCCGCGGUAAUACGGAGGGUGCAAGCGUUAAUCGGAAUUACUGGGCGUAAAGCGCACGCAGGCGGUCUGUCAAGUCUGAUGUGAAAUCCCCGGGCUCAACCUGGGAACUGCAU